rnacentral:rRNA from 1 species
AAUAGAUACCCGGGUAGUCCAUGCCGUAAACGUUGGGCGCUAGGUGUGGGGACUUUCCACGGUUUCCGCGCCGUAGCUAACGCAUUAAGCGCCCCGCCUGGGGAGUACGGCCGCAAGGCUAAAACUCAAAGGAAUUGACGGGGGGCCCGCACAAGCGGCGGAGCAUGUUGCUUAAUUCGACGCAACGCGAAGAACCUUACCAAGGUUUGACAUCACCCGUGGACCUGUAGAGAUACAGGGUCAUUUAGUUGGUGGGUGACAGGUGGUGCAUGGCUGUCGUCAGCUCGUGUCGUGAGAUGUUGGGUUAAGUCCCGCAACGAGCGCAACCCUUGUUCCAUGUUGCCAGCACGUAAUGGUGGGGACUCAUGGGAGACUGCCGGGGUCAACUCGGGAGGAAGGUGGGGACGACGUCAAGUCAUCAUGCCCCUUAUGUCUUGGGCUGCAAACAUGCUACAAUGGCCGGUACAAUGGGCGUGCGAUACCGUAAGGUGGAGCGAAUCCCUUAAAGCCGGUCUCAGUUCGGAUUGGGGUCUGCAACUCGACCCCA